rnacentral:rRNA from 1 species
GAUGAACGCUGGCGGCGUGCCUAAUGCAUGCAAGUCGAGCGAACGGACGAGAAGCUUGCUUCUCUGAUGUUAGCGGCGGACGGGUGAGUAACACGUGGAUAACCUACCUAUAAGACUGGGAUAACUUCGGGAAACCGGCGCUAAUACCGGAUAAUAUUUUGAACCGCAUGGUUCAAAAGUGAAAGACGGCCUUGCUGUCACUUAUCGAUGGUUCCGCGCUGCAUUAGCUAGUUGGUAAGGUAACGGCUUACCAAGGCAACGAUGCAUAGCCGACCUGCGAGGGGGAUAGGCCACACUGGAACGGAGACACGGUCCAGACUACUAAGGGAGGCAGCAGUAGGGAAUCGGACGCAAUGGGCGAAAGCCUGACGGAGCAACGGCGCGUGAGUGAUGAAGGUGUUCGGAUCGGAAAAAUCUGUUAUUAGGGAAGAACAUAUGUGGAAGGAACUGAGCAGAGAUUGACGGUAACGAAUCAGAAAGCCACGGCUAACUACGUG